rnacentral:rRNA from 1 species
AUUGAACGCUGGCGGCAGGCCUAACACAUGCAAGUCGAACGGUAGCACAGAGAGCUUGCUCUCGGGUGACGAGUGGCGGACGGGUGAGUAAUGUCUGGGAAACUGCCCGAUGGAGGGGGAUAACUACUGGAAACGGUAGCUAAUACCGCAUAACGUCGCAAGACCAGAGAGGGGGACCUUCGGGCCUCUUGCCAUCGGAUGUGCCCAGAUGGGAUUAGCUAGUAGGUGGGGUAACGGCUCACCUAGGCGACGAUCCCUAGCUGGUCUGAGAGGAUGACCAGGCACACUGGAACUGAGACACGGUCCAGACUCCUACGGGAGGCAGCAGUGGGGAAUAUUGCACAAUGGGCGCAAGCCUGAUGCAGCCAUGCCGCGUGUAUGAAGAAGGCCUUCGGGUUGUAAAGUACUUUCAGCGAGGAGGAAGGCGUUGUGGUUAAUAACCACAGCGAUUGACGUUACUCGCAGAAGAAGCACCGGCUAACUCCGUGCCAGCCGCCGCCGUAAGAC